rnacentral:rRNA from 1 species
AUUGAACGCUGGCGGCAGGCCUAACACAUGCAAGUCGAACGGUAGCACAGAGAGCUUGCUCUCGGGUGACGAGUGGCGGACGGGUGAGUAAUGUCUGGGAAACUGCCCGAUGGAGGGGGAUAACUACUGGAAACGGUAGCUAAUACCGCAUAACGUCGCAAGACCAAAGUGGGGGACCUUCGGGCCUCACACCAUCGGAUGUGCCCAGAUGGGAUUAGCUAGUAGGUGGGGUAAUGGCUCACCUAGGCGACGAUCCCUAGCUGGUAUGAGAGGAUGACCAGCCAAACUGGAACUGAGACACGGUCCAGACUCCUACGGGAGGCAGCAGUGGGGAAUAUUGCACAAUGGGCGCAAGCCUAAUGCAGCCAUGCCGCGUGUAUGAAGAAGGCCUUCGGGUUGUAAAGUACUUUCAGCGGGGAGGAAGGCGGUGGAGUUAAUAACUUCACCGAUUGACGUUACCCGCAGAAGAAGCACCGGCUAACUCCGUGCCAGCCGCCGCCGUAA